GACGAACGCUGGCGGCGUGCUUAACACAUGCAAGUCGAACGAAGUGGCGAACGUGUGAGUAACGCGUAAUCAACCUGCCCUUCAGUGGGGGACAACAGUUGGAAACGAUUGCUAAUACCGCAUACGGAAGGAGGGGAUUGAGUCUGAUUUGCUGGUUGGGGGGGUAACGGCCCACAAAGGCGAAGACCAGUAGCCGGUCUGAGAGGAUGAACGGCCACAUUUGGACUGAGACACGGCCCAGACUCCUACGGGAGGCAGCAGUGGGGAAUCUUCCGCAAUGGACGAAAGUCUGACGGAGCAACGCCGCGUGAGUGAUGACGGCCUUCGGGUUGUAAAGCUCUGUUAAUCGGGACGCGGUACCGGAAUAGAAAGCCACGGCUAACUACGUGCCAGCAGCCGCGGUAAUAC
rnacentral:rRNA from 1 species